CAGAGACACUGGAUUUACAUCCCAGACCCCGGCACACGGGGCCAGGAACAGCUGCUCUUCAAGAAACUAGUCAUGUACUUUUUUUCUCCCUCCUUCCUCCUUCUCCUUCUUGGAGUUGAUCAGAAGAGAAGUUGGGGAGGUAAGUGGGG
rfam:Camelus ferus unplaced genomic scaffold scaffold726, whole genome shotgun sequence.